rnacentral:rRNA from 1 species
AAGUUUCUAAGUUUAGCUAAUGUUGCCCGUACCGUAAACCGACACAGGUGGGUGGGAUGAGUAUUCUAAGGCGCGUGGAAGAACUCUCUUUAAGGAACUCUGCAAAAUAGCACCGUAUCUUCGGUAUAAGGUGUGGUUAGCUUCGUACUAGGAUUUACUCCGAAAGCGAAGAAACUUACAACAAAGAGUCCCUCCCGACUGUUUACCAAAAACACAGCACUCUGCUAACUCGUAAGAGGAUGUAUAGGGUGUGACGCCUGCCCGGUGCUCGAAGGUUAAUUGAUGGGGUUAGCAUUAGCGAAGCUCUUGAUCGAAGCCCGAGUAAACGGCGGCCGUAACUAUAACGGUCCUAAGGUAGCGAAAUUCCUUGUCGGUUAAAUACCGACCUGCAUGAAUGGCGUAACGAGAUGGGAGCUGUCUCAAAGAGGGAUCCAGUGAAAUUGUAGUGGAGGUGAAAAUUCCUCCUACCCGCGGCAAGACGGAAAGACCCCGUGGACCUUUACUACAGCUUGACACUGCUAUUUGGAUAAGAAUGUGCAGGAUAGGUGGGAGGCUUUGAGUAUAUGACGCCAGUUGUAUAGGAGCCAUUGUUGAGAUACCACUCUUUCUUAUUUGGGUAGCUAACCAGCUUGAGUUAUCCUCAAGUGGGACAAUGUCUGGUGGGUAGUUUGACUGGGGCGGUCGCCUCCCAAAUAAUAACGGAGGCUUACAAAGGUUGGCUCAGAACGGUUGGAAAUCGUUCAUAGAGUAUAAAGGUAUAAGCCAGCUUAACUGCAAGACAUACAAGUCAAGCAGAGACGAAAGUCGGUCUUAGUGAUCCGGUGGUUCUGUGUGGAAGGGCCAUCGCUCAAAGGAUAAAAGGUACCCCGGGGAUAACAGGCUGAUCUCCCCCAAGAGCUCACAUCGACGGGGAGGUUUGGCACCUCGAUGUCGGCUCAUCGCAUCCUGGGGCUGGAGCAGGUCCCAAGGGUAUGGCUGUUCGCCAUUUAAAGCGGUACGCGAGCUGGGUUCAGAACGUCGUGAGACAGUUCGGUCCCUAUCUGCCGUGGGCGUAAGAAGAUUGAAGAGAUUUGACCCUAGUACGAGAGGACCGGGUUGAACAAACCACUGGUGUAGCUGUUGUUCUGCCAAGAGCAUCGCAGCGUAGCUAAGUUUGGAAAGGAUAAACGCUGAAAGCAUCUAAGCGUGAAGCCAACUCUAAGAUGAAUCUUCUCUAAGCUCUCUAGAAGACUACUAGUUUGAUAGGCUGGGUGUGUAAUGGAUGAAAGUCCUUUAGCUGACCAGUACUAAUAGAGCGUUUGGCUUAUCUUUAAUAAAGCAU